rnacentral:rRNA from 1 species
AUUGAACGCUGGCGGCAUGCUUUACACAUGCAAGUCGAACGGUAACAGGCCGCAAGGUGCUGACGAGUGGCGAACGGGUGAGUAAUGCAUCGGAACGUGCCCAGUCAUGGGGGAUAACGCAGCGAAAGCUGCGCUAAUACCGCAUACGAUCUAUGGAUGAAAGCGGGGGACCGAAAGGCCUCGCGCGAUUGGAGCGGCCGAUGUCAGAUUAGGGAGUUGGUGGGGUAAAGGCCUACCAAGCCAACGAUCUGUAGCUGGUCUGAGAGGACGACCAGCCACACAGGGACUGGGACACGGCCCAGUCUACUACGGGAGGCAGCAGUGGGGAAUUUUGGACAAUGGGCGCAAGCCUGAUCCAGCAAUGCCGCGUGCAGGAAGAAGGCCUUCGGGUUGUAAACUGCUUUUGUACGGAACGAAAAGGUCUGGGUUAAUACCCUGGGCCGAUGACGGUACCGUAAGAAUAAGCACCGGCUAACUACGUGCCAGCAGCCGCCGUAAAAC